rnacentral:lncRNA from 1 species
UUAUGAUUCGAAUCAAACAAGUUGAGCCAACUGAAAAAUGCGUAAAAAUUAUAUGAUUCGAAUUAAGUCUAAAGUUUGAUUCGAAUCAAUUGGGGAAAAGGUGACCCAGAGAUUGAUGAUUUGAAUCAUGUGUUAAAAUUGAUUCAAAUUAAAUGGUUUAAAAUUUUAUGGUUUUCCUCUGUUCAAAAUGAUUCGAAUAAUGAUUUGUGCUUGAUUCGAAUCAAACACCCAAAAUCCCAAUUUUUCAAAAUUUUUAAA